UACGAAGGGGGCUAGCGUUGCUCGGAAUCACUGGGCGUAAAGCGCACGUAGGCGGCUUGUUAAGUCAGGGGUGAAAUCCUGGAGCUCAACUCCAGAACUGCCUUUGAUACUGGCGAGCUUGAGUCCGGGAGAGGUGAGUGGAACUGCGAGUGUAGAGGUGAAAUUCGUAGAUAUUCGCAAGAACACCAGUGGCGAAGGCGGCUCACUGGCCCGGUACUGACGCUGAGGUGCGAAAGCGUGGGGAGCAAACAGGGAU
rnacentral:rRNA from 1 species